AGUUGUCUCAAACAGUUGGUCAUAUGAUUGCUUGGCCACGUUCUUUGGUGACGCCUAUUGAGUACUGAUGAUUUCUCGAUUUACAUUUGGAUUCCAGGCUGCAGAUUGUUCACAUGAUAGAAGAAGCACAAGACAAUCUAUGUACCUACACA